rnacentral:lncRNA from 1 species
ACGGGUGCCUACGCCGGGGACACUGCCCCAGCCCCGUAGCUCAAGCUUCGGUGGGUGCUCACGCCGUCUCCCUUCAUUCCGCACCCACGAGGCCGACGCCGCGUUGUGUGCGGAGUCAGAUGGGACUUGGCGCGCUGCGGACUCGGCGACCCGAGGAGCUGCUGCCUGUGAGCUGGCCGAGACCUCCGGAGGACGCUUCCUGGAGGAGGCCGGAACAUGGAGGAAGGAGUGGGAGCAGCUUUCAGGAGCCAGGACAGGAUGUCCGGAUCCCUGACAGGAUGACAGUGGCCACCUCAUGCCAGGGUAGCUGGGCCCAGCCUGCUUCUCUGCUGCUCGGUUUUUAUGGUUGUGUGUGAUAGCAGGAUCUCAAAGUUCCCAGCCUUAGACUGAAUGUGGGAGCUGCAAAAAUAAUUUGGUAAAAGCAAAAGGUUUUUGAACUUUGAAGUCAAACAGCUCAGAAAACACUUCAUGAAGACACCCUGCGCCCUGUGUUAUCAAAUAUUCAGGCAGGAUCUAACCUUUAUGUAAAAAUAGGCACACUUGGUUCAUUGAUAUGUAAAUUUUCUUUCAUACUUAUAGUAAAGUUAUGUUGCCAAUGUAGUAUUCUUUUAAAAUAAAUUUAUGAUUUCUUAUCCAUGAA